rnacentral:rRNA from 1 species
UAGGGAAUCUUCCACAAUGGACGCAAGCCUGAUGGAGCAACGCCGCGUGUGUGAUGAAGGGUUUCGGCUCGUAAAACACUGUUGUAAGAGAAGAAUGACAUUGAGAGUAACUGUUCAAUGUGUGACGGUAUCUUACCAGAAAGGAACGGCUAAAUACGUGCCAA